UUGCUCCCGUUAUGAACAAAACCUGCUGGUGAUCAUUCUACUCAUUCACGUUUGUGUUUUGGAUUGUAAAGGGAGCCACUGUUAUUCACGCAGGCCGCCACUAUGGAUGCCAAUAUAUGCAACUGUAAAGAUGUUCAAGAUCAAAUCGAGGCCCUGAAAAUUAUUUCAGCAUCUGUGGAUGGACUCCUGCUUCUAUGCGUGGUGUGUCUUGGUGUUCUGCUCGUACAAGUCAGACGCGGGAAACUCCCGACUCCGUCCUGCUGUGGUCACAUGGACGUCGACGUCACCAUCCCGGCCGUUGAAAGGCAUGAUAAGGCGCAAAUCCCAGACAAUGGACGCUUUCUAAGUUCACAACGCCUGGUUGAUAGCCGAUUGAAUGCAUGUAGCCGCACGGGUUCUGGACUCUCCCUAGCUGUUCGACCGCUGCCGAGUGAUCCAAAUUUCUCGGAGUUUGGCCCGCUCGCUAGGAAGGAUUCAAACUACCCCAUGCACUGUGAUGAAAACCUACGCGCAAUGGUCGGAAGUGACCAGGUGUCAACGCAUGCUGUAGAUGAACCUGAAGAGGAUGGAAAGGAUGGGGAGGAUGAGUACAUAAUCAUGGCAGCCGUUGAUUCUGUAUACGAUAGAGUGCCUAACCUGAAAGCAGCGCAAGCAGCCUGUGAGACACGCGAUGAAGGACGUUCUCAGAGUUCCGCUCAAUGAUUCAGGAUAUUCAUGUCAGUAUCACCUUCCUCAAGCAACAUUCAAAUAUUGUACGCCACACAGAUAGUACAAUUCGGCAGGGGCAAAAUGUCAACAUGAGCUUUCCGGCGAAAAUGUAUAAGAAUGUUUGGAAGGAUCAAUUCCCUAAUCAUAUGGUUGUAUCCAACACCGCGCCUCCUGUAUCGCAUCAACUGAACACGAGCAAAAACAUCCAACCCACCCAUAAUUAGUGUACCUGACACCCACCACAUAGCGGAUUCAUUUUCGUCUACAAGUUCCACUUUCGUCUGCAGUUCCACUACAGUUCCACUGUAAACAUUAGCCGACCAAAAGCCAAACAGAGAAGUGCAGGGUGCAAUUUAGCUCACAUAAUUAUGGGCACACAAGUGGACAAGUCAACGUAAGCAGCUGUACCACAUGACCUACUGCCGCUCAUAACAGUGGAAGUCAAUAUGGCAACAAGUCACGUCGCAUUGAAGUAAGAUUCAGCAAAAUCUACGAUCGAUACCGGUACACAAGCCUGUUCUGAAAACCGCUUGGUCACAUGAUUGAUCACGCCGGGUGGAACGAAAAAUCUAUCCUAGCUCUGUCCAUCAAUAAUUCUGUUAGCAUAAUUCGCAUGCGCUGCGUGUGAAUAGCAACUGAAUAGAGUGGUUGUGAGUUGAAAAUUGCCCCUUUUCUUUAUGCCCACAAAUUCCAUGUUGCAACAUUUUUCCUUGGCUCACCAUCUGAGUUCCCCUUUUCUUUGUCAUAAUUCUGUUGUUGAGGUAGCUCUUUUAUCUGGAUUCCUGACGGCUGAAUUUAAAUGCUCUGAAACACAUUUUUAGUAAGCUUGACGUGUGGACAAAAAGUGGACACCAGUUUCCAGUCCCAGUCUGAAGCAUGACUAGACAUGGCAACAUCCUUGACCAAUAUACCAUCAUCUGACGACUACCAACUGGAUCCUGAGGAAAUGCUCGUCUAACGGCCCAGUCCAUACCGUCACACGUUUUCCUUAUAUUGUCAGUUCAUUUGCAUGCUCCGGAGAUGUAAAUUAAGGAUGGAUAGUGGAUAAAGGCAACUUCCUUCCUCAUCUUAAUUCAUCAUAGUCUUAUACGUAAUGUAAGUGCAUAUCACUUCAUGUAGGAACUUACAAGGCUAUGUAAAUUUGCAAAUUCGGUAUUUCUCUUGUCCGUUUCGUUUCAACUCCCCCGCCGCACAAUACUUGCAGUGUCCCUCGAACAGGUUUCCUGGGAAAUGACUAACUUGCAUAGUUCAAAGCACUAGCAUGAUACGUUCUGCUUCACACCAUAAUCCUCUAGGCACGAGGGCCGCAGUGACACACUUACCAAGUGGGA